AUGUCUACGGUGACCCGUGCCCACCUCGACCAGAGGCUCGCCGCCGCCAAGCGCUGCUCCAGAGAGGCUGCCAUGGCAGGAGCCAAGGCCGCGGCCGUCGCCACCGUCGCAGCCGCAGUCCCCACAAUGCUGCCGUGGGCCAAGGCACACCUGAACCCAACCGGGCAGGCCCUCAUCAUCUCCACCGUCGCCGACAAGACCAUCCUCUCCAUGGCCAGGAAGCACUCCUUCGAGGACGCGCCGGACCACCUCAAGAACACCUCCUUCCACUAA
rnacentral:rRNA from 1 species